rnacentral:rRNA from 1 species
AUAUAUUAACCCAGGAACAGCUUCCACUACCCCUACUAUGUUACGACUUAUCUUAUUUUCCAACAAGAGCGACGGGCGAUAUGUACGCAUCACAAAACCCAAUUCAUAAAAACACACUAAUUUAAAUAUUUUAUUACUACCAAGUCCAACUUCAUAAACCAAUUACAUAAUUUAAUCAGAUUAAAUAUAACAAAUUGUAGCUCACUUUAUAAACCUUUUUCAUAAGCUGCAUUUUGACUUGACAUUAUAACCAAUUCGUUACAAAGUUUUUUAUAAUAUUUUUACAAAAUAAACUGACGACAGCAAUACACAAACUGAUAUUAACUACCAAGAAAAAGUAAGUAUAAAUUGAGGAUUAUCAAAUUAAUAAGCAAGCUCCCCUGGAAGGAUAUAUGACACCGCCAAGCCUUUUAAGUUUCAAGCAAAAUAAUUACUCAAAUAAAAAUUUCAUAUAACUCUUACUACUUAAAUAAAAAAAAUUUUUAAAAUAAAGAAUAAUAGGGUCUCUAAUCCUAGUCUUUUAAACCUUAUUUUCAAAGAAUCUACUAAUUAGAAUAAUUUAAUUAAUUAUAAAGAUUAGAUUUUACCCACAAUCAAUAUACUCAUCAAUUCUAAUCGUCGCACUAUUAUAAUACUUUAUUUUAUACUAUUUAAAUAUAAAUUCAAAGUAUAGGUAUAACCGCAGAUGCUGGCACCAAUUUAACCACUUUUAAAAUUACAUUAACUAUAUCAAACUUUCAUUCAUUGUAUAAAAAUAAAUACUGCGUAAUCUACUUAUUAUAUAUUAAUAAUAUACUAACAUAAACAUAAUUAUUUAAACACAGUAUUAAACUUAGUGAUAAAUAAUUUAAUUAUAAAUAAAACGACCUAUAUGACAACCUUUCAAAUCUAGCAUGUAUAAAUUUAAUAACAACUUAUAUAAUAACCAAAGCCAAAUUAAAUAAAACGCAUAACAAUUAAAUUUAAAUAUCUAAAUAACUCGAAGCUCCAUUUCAUAAUAAA